rnacentral:rRNA from 1 species
UUUUAUGAGAGUUUGAUCCUGGCUCAGGACGAACGCUGGCGGCGUGCCUAAUACAUGCAAGUCGAACGCUUCUUUUUCCACCGGAGCUUGCUCCACCGGAAAAAGAAGAGUGGCGAACGGGUGAGUAACACGUGGGUAACCUGCCCAUCAGAAGGGGAUAACACUUGGAAACAGGUGCUAAUACCGUAUAACAAUCAAAACCGCAUGGUUUUGAUUUGAAAGGCGCUUUCGGGUGUCGCUGAUGGAUGGACCCGCGGUGCAUUAGCUAGUUGGUGAGGUAACGGCUCACCAAGGCCACGAUGCAUAGCCGACCUGAGAGGGUGAUCGGCCACAUUGGGACUGAGACACGGCCCAAACUCCUACGGGAGGCAGCAGUAGGG